GAUGAAGAACGUAGCGAAAUGCGAUACUUGGUGUGAAUUGCAGAAUCCCGUGAACCAUCGAGUCUUUGAACGCAAGUUGCGCCCGAAGCCAUUAGGCCGAGGGCACGCCUGCCUGGGCGUCACACGUCGUUGCCCCCCCAUCUACUCCUUCGGGAUUGCGGGGGGCGGAUGAUGGCCUCUCGUGCGCCUCGUCGCGCGGUUGGCCUAAAUGCCAAGUCCUCGGCGAUGCACGCCACGACAAUCGGUGGUUGCGAAACCUCGGUUGCCUGUCGUGUGCGGUCGUCGCGCAUCGAGGGCUCGAAAAAAUUGCCGGGCUUCGGCUCGACUUUCAACGCGACCCCAGGUCAGGCGGGGUUACCCGCUGAAUUUAAGCAUAUCAAUAAGCGGAGGA
rnacentral:misc_RNA from 1 species